ACCAUGCGCAAAGAGCAGGUCUUAUCCUAGUAUGAAUUAUCUGUUAAACUGUUUACAUAUGUAUGAAAAUCCUUGAAAAUCAAUAUAUUAUGUACAAAGAGAGUAAAUUCCUGUUAGGUCAUAACCAAAUUGUGUAUCAGAACAAAAAAACUUUGUCAAUGCAAUUAAGAUUUUUGUUAGUAGAGCUAUUAUCUCUCGCCUUGUAAAACUUUUUUCCUUUUCCCGGGACCUGGUGGCCAAUUUUGUCACCACAAAAGAAAGUUUGGAGUCGAAUUUUUAUCAUAUUCGAUAAUUUGCAGAGGUGGUACAGCCAAAGCCAAGUGGUUCUUGGCACAUUCUCGUGCAGAAGUUAAAAGGUAUCGUAAACAACAAAGUAAGUAUUACAUUAUACUAUAUGAUUGACAUGUGAUCUGCGCAGUUGUAAAGAAACUUUCAAGUCUGGGAAAACAUGUCGUUGCAUUAGUAAUCCCCAAAAAUGAUUUUUUUUUUGUGCACCAAAUGAUUAUAUUAAGAAUUAAAAGUCUAACGGGCUUAAACGAUUACAUCCAGAGGUAAUCUCCGCGAAAAGACAAUGAAAGAAAAGUACUACAACAAGGGAAAAGAUAGAUGUGUAGGAAAAGUAAAAGAACUCGUAGAGCAGCUUUACUUUGAACCCUACAACUGUUAUUUGGAGCAACAAAUUAUAGUCGGAGUGGUCGACGUUGAAAUACCCAACUGAAAGGAUUUAAAAACGGUUACAUACCAACUCUGAUGAUAAGCGGCCUUCGCUUGAUGGCAAUGUCAAGAAAUUUUGCCCAUAUGGUGACAGCAUAUGUACGAAGUAACCUCCAAUAAAAUGCCUUAGUCAGAGAGAGUCGACCUAUGAACUCCGCUUUUAGAGAACUCGUCUGGCAUGACAUAAUUGCCAUUUUCCAAUAGACAGAGAUACUCAUAGUGUCAAAGUGAAAGUUCGAAGCUCAGUAAACGUAAAACGCGACAAUGGAGAAAGAGAAGUCACAAGGAGAAUGGCUAGGUGAACCAGAGAUAAGCGGAUGAAGAAAUACUAGAUAAAUUUUGAAGUGUACUAGAUGAUUGACAUGUGGUUUGCGCAAUUUUAAAGAAACAUUCAAGUCUGGGAAAACAUCACAAGAACAUACAUUAAAUCCCCAAAAAAAGAUCUUAAAUUUAAGAUUUAAUGAUGUCUGUCUUCAAAAACGGC
rnacentral:lncRNA from 1 species